AGUUAGAGAAAAGAAAAGAAAACAUUAUUGAGAAUCAUUUUUAUUACGAGUAUAUCUUCAAGGUCGAGAAACAUAGUGUCAGAUAUAUAAAAGUACCAAGCACACGCGGGUCGCACUUCCUUCCGUCCUUCCUUCUUUCCUUGACCGCUCCUCCCCACUCCAUCCGACCUUCCACCUUACCCCUUCCUCCCGUUCUCCUGUCACUUAUACGUUUUUCUUUGAUAUGAUUUGAUUUUGAAAUAAAAUUAAAGAGGUGGAAAACGUUAGAUAGAGAUAGCGAUAGAGAUAGUAAUAAUGAUAGUAAUAGUGAUAGAGAUAGAGAUAAAGAUAGUGAUAGAAAGAGACCAUCAUAACGUUAAACCAUGCUGAGUUGCGUUCGCAUUGUGUCCAACUAUGAAGGUACCUUACUACUAUAUGUAUAUAUAUGUGUGUGUUGUUUGUAUGUACGUAUGUAGGUAUGUGUGUGUAUAUAUAUAUAUAUAGUACAUAUUUGCAAAGAGGGGGGCGCGCGGAGCGUGAGGUGUAGUAUAAUUAAACCCGAAGGACGUGCCGGUCGGUAACUUAAUUCCCACGAGGUUCGUUCGUUUGUGCAUAGCCUCUCUCGUGACUUUUCUACCCAACGAACGUUUUCUUCGUAAAUGCGUUUCCGUGAGAAGAUUUCCCUGGCGAUGGUGAUGCUCCUGUCUGCUGCUAGUGUCGCUUUUGUUACUGCUUUUGUUGUCGAUUGCAUUGUCGUUGUGUUGUUGUUGUUCUUGUUCUUGUUCUUGUUGAUGUUCCGAGCCGGCAACGUGGUGGAACGGCCAGAAGGAAAAAUAGAUAUAUACGCAACGAGUCGUCAAGAGCUCGAUCGUACAUUCGAAAUUAGGUUAUGGUUACCAACGACAACAUAAUAACAACUACGACGAAGCGAAGACGAAGAAAAAGAAGAAGAAGCUAUGACAUACAUACAUACAUACAUACAUAUGUACAUGCGUACGUACAAUUGUCAACAAUUAUAUUUUUGUGAUGAACAA